UCCAUCCCUGCAACUGAAAAGUCCGAGGUGUCGGGACGUGCUCUCGGCGGCCUGAUUCCACCCCUUCACCCACCCACCACUUUCUAGGUGAAGUUAAGGCUCACCUUCGAAGUGAGGGGCAGAUGGUUUUCCUGGCGUCAGGUGGGAAGUGGAGGGCACAGGUGCAGAGCGAACUAAAUGGUCACAGAUCGACGGUAGCAUGAAGCCUUGAGAGGCGAGAGUCCUAGGAGCGGGGAUGGAAAGGAAGAAUUCCAAACGCCUUUCGGACUUAACAGAGGAGAGACCCCAACUAAGCACUUGCAGAGCGACUAGGAGUCCUGGCAGUUGGAAGGCGCAGCGCACGAGUUCAUCAAAUGGCUAUAUUGAAAGAUAGCCAAGCAUAAGAUGCUCUUUGCAGACUCCUAGAGCCCCCACCCCACCCCUUCCAGAAACAGAUGACAUUCUUCUACCAGGGAGACAUGAGGAGCUAACUUAGGAAAUGGGUUUUAAUAAUGUGUAAAUAUCACGAUUUCAGAGUCUAAGGAGCUUCUGUGUAAAAUGAUGAGCUUCUGUUUGGAUUUAGUUAGGGAUUCAGGGGAAGGGCAUGAAAAGUGACUUAUGCUACUAAUAAACACUCUUUAAUUAAACAGUGAUUUAAGUUUAUCUUAUAAUGAAACACAUCAACUAGCAUAGCAAAUAAUCACGUAUUAUUUAAGUACUUUCUUAGAAAUGAUCAUUUCUUUAUUGUGUGCCUCUUAAGAGUGUUUCUGGUCAGUCACCUUUCCUUUCAAGGUCUUCCUUAUUCAAACUAAGGUGGCUUUUAGGUCAAGGUCACAGUCAUUACCUGGGGAUGCAAGGGGAUGAUAAUUGCUAUGUGAACAGCCACAAUGAACUGUUUUGCCAUAAAAAAGCUGGAGUUGUUCAUUUAUUUUUAAAUAAAAUAAGAGUUACUGUGC